AAGGAACGCACAUAAUUGACUCCGGCAGCCAGGAUGAGCCUGCUAGUCUGCUGGCAUGAGAAAUCCAGAGUGACAGAGCAGCAGCCAUACUGCAACGUUAAACGGGAAUAUUGCUGCGCCCCAUUGUAGAUGCAUUUCCUUUCUGAGAACCGUGAUCUCUGGACCCACAGAAUUUAAUCUGCAAGGACAAGUUUCCCAAGAAUGGAUCACUGACACCACGUGGGAGACAGCGGGAACUGAGUGCUAUGUUUGGGACCGUUCUCCAGCCUCCCAGAAAUGUAAAGUUGGAUUUUCUAAUAACUUCUAAUCAUGGAAAUCACAUACCCACUAUGUGCUAGACACUAUUGUAGGUACUGGAGAAUGAGAAUAAGCAGCCCUGCCCUCAAGGAGCCUUUUUUCUGGUGUUAGCACAGUGCAUAAGGUGGCGCCUUAAAGACCGACCCAUGACAUGGCGUGGUUGUCCUGAUGACUUGCCUAUUUUACGUCUGACCCAUGCUAGUUUGAAUUCGUAGCUGCUGGGUUGGAGGGGAGACCCUCAAGGCUCCUCUCCGUCCUUUGCUAUUCCGGAGCCCUCUCUACUCAGGACUUGUGAGCACCCGCUCUCAAGAAGAGUAAGCAGUUACGGGCUGGUUCUAACUGGAACGACGCUGUCCUUUUCUGACCAGCAUCCUCGUACAGCUCUGCAGCAGUUACAGGGGAGGUUCUGCAGAGACACAGCACAAGGCAGAGAGGUUCAAGGGCCUCCUGCCACUUUUCCCUGGUGUGGGGUUUCAUAGCCAUCCUCAGAGGCGGGGGCGGGUGGCAGUCACUGCUCUGCAGGUAACUCUUCCUCAGUUCUUCAGAAACGGAACCUGUUAAGCAUGUGGCAUACCAGGGACAGCUCCCCAUACAGGGCCAAUCGUUCAUUUGUUAGUAAGCAGAAACGACCCUUUCUUUAAGUGUUGCUCACAUCGCCUCCAGGAGAAAUUGUGUGAUUGUGAACAUUCUAGUGGGCUCGUCGCCUUUAUUUGUGGCUCCUGGGUGACUUUGUCAGAUUGUAAUUGCGUUGCGCUUAACUUCCCUAUUGGUGAUCUGUGUGAAAGUGUGUUCUGACCUUGGGUUUUCUCCUCUCAGAUUUUAAAAAUAAAAACAGGCCAUGCUUUGUGCUUUUCAGAGGAGAAACUAUAAAAUACAUUUAUGUUCUCUAUAUUACAGGAUAUUAUUGUUGUAUACGCUGAGCUGCAUUCUCUCAAGGCCUAUGUAAUAGCU
rnacentral:lncRNA from 1 species